UAUGCACAAGCCGAUUAAUGGUGAAGCCGCGAAUGGCUCAUUACAACAGCCACUGUUUACUUGAUCUUAGACUAUCCUACUUGGAUAACUGUGGUAAUUCUAGAGCUAAUACACGCAAACAAGCUCCGACUUUACGGACGAGCGCAUUUAUUAGACCAAAACCAAUCGGGCUUCGGCCUGAUCACUUGGUGACUCUGAAUAACUGAGCUGAUCGCAUGGUCUUUGUACCGGCGACGCAUCUUUCAAGUGUCUGCCUUAUCAACUUUCGAUGGUAGUUUAUGUGCCUACCAUGGUUGUUACGGGUAACGGAGAAUAAGGGUUCGACUCCGGAGAGGGAGCCUGAGAAACGGCUACCACAUCCAAGGAAGGCAGCAGGCGCGCAAAUUACCCACUCUCGGCACGAGGAGGUAGUGACGAAAAAUAACGAGGCGGUUCUCUAUGAGGCCCGCUAUCGGAAUGGGUACAAUUUAAACCCUUUAACGAGGACCUAUG
rnacentral:rRNA from 1 species